UGGGGAAUAUUGGACAAUGGGCGCAAGCCUGAUCCAGCCAUGCCGCGUGAGUGAUGAAGGCCCUAGGGUUGUAAAGCUCUUUCACCGGUGAAGAUAAUGACGGUAACCGGAGAAGAAGCCCCGGCUAACUUCGUGCCAGCAGCCGCGGUAAUACGAAUGGGGCUAGCGUUGUUCGGAUUUACUGGGCGUAAAGCGCACGUAGGCGGACUUUUAAGUCAGGGGUGAAUUCCCGGGGCUCAACCCCGGAACUGCCUUUGAUACUGGAAGUCUUGAGUAUGGUAGAGGUGAGUGGAAUUCCGAGUGUAGAGGUGAAAUUCGUAGAUAUUCGGAGGAACACCAGUGGCGAAGGCGGCUCACUGGAACAAUACUGACGCUGAGGUGCGAAAGCGUGGGGAGCAAACAGG
rnacentral:rRNA from 1 species